GGGCUUUGCUCCACUUGGAGUCAGCUGAUUGACAGGAGGGCAUCUGAAAUUGAGAGGAGAUUUCAGGACGUUUACCCAGCCCUUUAGUGGGGAUCUGUCCGGGACUGUGCAGUCUGAACCUGCAACUGUAAAAGGUACAAUAUCUACAUUUAGGCCCUCAUCUCUGUCUCUCUCUCCUCCUCCUCCUUUCCUCUGCAGGGUGAUCUGCAUAAGCCCCACUCCAUCCAGGAUCCGGCCCUGGAGGGAAACAGCCUCCACUGCCCUAGCAGGGUCACUCUUUUUAGGGCCCUGGAGUACUUCUCACAGCUGUGCCAGUUUUUAUGGGGAAAGGAAGGAUGUGAACAAUUCCAUAGGUUAUCUAAAGGGCUUGCCACCAUGCUUAUGGUGCUUAAUGUUGUUUAUGUGAAAAAAAGCUUAACAGCAUAUGGGAUAAGUAUUUAGGCAGUCCUGACUCCAACCCCUCUGCCCUUUUUAUCUGCCUAAUUUACCAUUUAAUUUGUUGCCAUUCGGUUACCAUCUACUAGGGUACUAAGGACAGCAGAACAUGGACUUGGGAUGAAGUUGAUGUGCUGGUGGGCCGGGGCAGGGGGUGGAGCGGGGGCAGGGUGGUGGUGGGGGAGUGCUGUGCUAGCUGGUGCUAAUCACUAGCCUGCCCAACUAGUUUAUUCUCUGGUCUCUUUGGCUGUCCCAGCUGUGUGGUGAGAUUUCCACAAGUCUUCCUUUUAGGACCAUGAGUGGUAUUAAUUGCACUGCUUAUAUGAAGCUAGAAACGUCUUUCCAACCCAUAGAGGUCUGGUUGAAGGAUAUGAGCAGUGCAGAACAGAAGAGAGACAACAAAUAAAAGUUGUCAUCACUGUUUCACAGGGAUGAGCAGUAUGGACAUAGAAACCACGUCAGGAGGGGAAACAAGGUCUCUAUCACCUCUGGGAGGCCCCUGGGGCAUACCCUAGCUAACUGUAGAGCCUAUAGCUAUCAGCCCAUGACUAACAGAAAAAUGGUCUAUUAUUGCAGUGCUGUUUGGACUGUGGACAAGUUAGGUUAUAAAUUUUGACCUCUGAAUGGACGCAACCAAUAUUAGCCUUUAAUGCAGUUAGACUCAUUUUGUCAGAGGUCUGGAAAAUUAGGAAAAACUACCAUAUGUCCAAGCCUUCAUGCUUUUCGAAAAUCAGGAUUCAUACCAUGAGGGAAGAUGCCAGCUGCUAGCUAUACCAAAGGACAGAAUGGAAAAAAGGCUCUUCACAAGCCAGAGAGCCAAACUCAGGCAGAAAGCAAUGAAGAAGAAUUAGGACUUUUAAAUGUCCUACACCCAAGCUGUUUUAGCAGCUCCAACCACCACAGCCAGAACGCACCUGGCCUCUGCUCCACCUCAACAGCUCCCACUGCAGUACCACCAUACGGGGCCCUUAGCACUGGCCUCUGCGUUGGACCGGAUUGCCUUGAUGCUACCAAGUGAGGCAUCAGACCAAUAAGAGGGAGCUACUCUGCCGCCUCAGUAUAAUGAGAGAACAGAGACGGCCUCUCCCUCCAGUGCUUGACAGGGAACAUGAUUUAGCAAGGAAUUGCCAUGGCCGGAGCAAAGGAAUUACCGUUUACAGGGAUGGCCAUGGGUGGCUUGGAUGAGAGUGGGCAACCUGUCAGACAUUACUGGACAUCCAGCCCAUUUUCAACAUCUAACUUGUGAAAUGGAAAAACUCCACCCCACUUUAUACAAUGGAUCCCCAGAAAAUGACUGAUCUCUAUGUGUCUAUCUGUGCUACCCACCAGCGUACCUGAGCAGAUGUGUAGUCUCUCCUAAAUAUGUUUCUGACUGCAGACCAAAGAAGGUCCAGAGUCUUGGUGCCUCCAUGAAACAAAUCCAAAUACCCCAAACCUGAAGGGACCAUUCUGGAUGCAAACCCUAAUUGGGGCUCCAAUUGAUAAGGGGACAUGGCCCAUCUGGAAUAUUCACAAACAUUCUUCCUGUUUGGACUCAGGAAAGGGGUACCAAAACAGGAAGCCUCACUAGGAAUGACCCCUUCCCCGCUCCAGAGACAAAGAAACAGAAGUUUCAACCAUAAACGUGGAAUGAACAAGGAAGCCUCUGCAUCAGAAAAAUCGAGGCAAGCCUCUGGAACACAGCCAGUGUGCCUAGUGUAAGGAGAAAGGCCACUGAAAGGAUGACUGUCCCAAAAGAAAGGACCAAGGGGCCAGAAAAAGGAGGAAUAUGAUGAGGAAAAAGCUCAAAGUCAAAUCAUGGAGCAGGGUCACUGCUCUGACCACAGAGAGUGAUGCCUGGGGACUCUCCUUAAUCACUCAGAGACAAUUAAAAUUUCCCCACAGGAACCCUGGGUACAACUGACAGUGAGGAAAAAGUUAAUUGAUUUCCUGGUUGAUACUGGGCAAACUAUUCAGUUUUAACACUUUAUGAGCAAAAAGCACCAAAAUGAUUGUACCUGUGAUAGGAGUUGCAAGAAUAAUGCAACAAAAGGCUUUCCUACAACCUUUAGAAUGCAAACUAGAAAGUUUGGACCUAAGGCACUGCUAUUUCUAUAUGUAAGAAUGCCCAAUUCCCUUGCUGGGAAAAGACCCAUUAUGCAAAUUAAAUACUCAAGUAAUUUAUCCCCAGAGAAACAACUAUGGCUGCAGGUCCUGCUAAAGCAAGCACUGCAACUAAGAUGUUACUCACUUGCCUUAAGAAGAAACAAGAAUUCUCCCUCAGAAGUCUAUGAGAGAGUGCGUAAUUGUGAAUAGGCAGAAGGAAUCCCAGGAAAAACAAGAAAUAUACAGUGAGUGCAUAUAGAAAAAAUAGAAGGGGCUACUGUGACCUGGGCGGCGGGGAGGAGGCGAAUAAAAAAAUCAGUAUACAUUAAGAAAGGAAGCCUUAGAAGGAAUACAGCCUGUCUUUCAAAAAUUUGAGAAGUGGACUGAUUCAUCCUUGCAGAUCCCCAUAUAAUAGCCCUAUCGUGCCUGUAAGGAAGCUACACUUCUACAAAUAUCAAUUUGCCCAAGACCUGAGAACCGUUAAUAAAAUAGUCUUGGAUAUUCACCCAGUGGUGCCUAACCCAGAUACUCUACUGACUGCUAUAUAUAGACAUUAUGAAUGCUUUUCAGUGCUAGAUCUGAAAGAUGUUUUCUUCUGCAUUCCAAUUGAAGAAAAGACCCAACAAUUAUCAUUAUUAUUUUUAAUGACAGGACCGAGAGACUAAAACAACCUUUCAAUACUGUUAGACAGUGGGGUCUCAAUGUGUUAAAAAAUGCACCAACAAUUUUUGGGGAAAUACUGGCAAAAGACUUAGGAGACCUACAACAAGAUUAAGAAGCCUGGCUACAACACAUAGAUAAUUAAUAGCCAGCCACAACUAUAGGAAAUGCUUAGCUGAUGUCAUUUUAGUUCUAAAUCACCUGGUACAAUAUGGAUACAAAGUAUUCCCAAGAAGCCCCAAAUAUGUAAGUAGAAAGUAACCUGUCUUGGCUUUAGGUUAAAGCAAGGCCAAAGGAGCCUGGUCUGGUAAAAAAAAAAAACAAAAAACAGGCAAUAGCAGCCAUAAAGCUCCAGAGAAUGGGGGCAACCAUGGGGAUUCUUAGAAAGGGUUAGCUUCUGCCAGAUUUGAUUCCUAAGUUUGGACUAAUGACUAAAACACUUUAUGAAUCCUUAAAGGAUUCACUAGACUCAGAGGCCCUUCUCUGGACAUCUAAAGGUCAACAAACAUUUUAUACCAUCAAAGAAAAGCUGAUAUCACCCCCUGCACUGGGAUACCAAAUUCCCAAAAGCUGUUCAAACUCUAUAUCCAAGAGAAACAAAGCAUAGGUGUGGGUUGUGCUAAUGCAAAUGCUGGGAGAUGCCCCACAAUCCAUGGCCUAUUUCUCUAAACAAUUACACCAAAGAUUAAGGGAUGGCUCCCCUUCCUCUGGGCAAGAGCACCCACUGUGAAGUCCUACAGGAAGUAGAACAAUUUACUCUGGGACAGCCAGUUACCUUGUUUGUACCCCAUCAGGUGCUGACUCUGCUAGAACAAACGGGAGGCUACUGGCUCACUGUGGGGUGAGUGGGCAGAUACCAGGCCAUCCUCUUAUAUGAUCCAAAUAUCACCCUACAAACCACCAUGGCUCUAAACCCUGCCACACUGCUCUCAGCCACUGAACACAAUCCUGGGUUAAAGCAUGACUGUAAAUCCUUGAUGCAGCUUAUUCAAGCAUGCUGAACCUGUCAAACUAGACAAUGAGUGCUCUGGACUUGAACUACACUGAUGGGAGCAGCUUAAUGAAAGAUGUGCACAGAGCCGGAUGUGCCACUGUGACUACCAAAAGGGUAAUAGUAGUCCAUACCCUUCCUGCAGCUACCUCCGCACAAAGAGCUGAGUUAAUUGCUCUUACCUGAGUCUUUAGAACUGUCCCAGGAAAUGGGAGUAAAGAUUUAUUCUGAUUCCAUAUAUGCAUUCCUGGAAAUGCACGCCAAUUGGGUGAUCUGGAAACAUAGAGGAGGUUGCUUGAAAUCAGAAAAUACAGACAUUAAACACCCAAGAGAAAUUCUGGACCUAGUAAAGGCAAUUGCCUUGCCUGCCCAGGCUUCCAUCAUGCACUUCCCCAACACCAGAGACAUAAUUCACAACCGAAGGUAACCAGGCAGCUGGCAAAGCUGCAAAAUGAGCUGCUUGGGAGGCACAGGUCCUGGGACAUGAAUACUCCAUUUGGAAUUACUAGAUUUUAAACCUCAUUACACUGAACAAGAUCCCAAACGUGCCCAAGCCAGGGGUUUGAGAAAAGAGAUUCCAAUUCCCCUAGAAAACUGACACCUAUAAGAUAACGCCUACAGGAUGAUGAAACCCCAAGGCCUUGGUUUAUCCAAUCUCAAAACAUCUACAUAAAGGAAUGCACUAUGGGAGUGAUGUCCUCGCCAACCUAGUACAACCACACCUCAGUAGACCACACUUUCAAAACAUCACUCGGAAAAUUACACAGGGAUGCAUCUUGUGCACUACAAACAAACAAUCCCAAGAUGGAAUGUAGUCCUCCUAAAAAGGAGAUAUAGUACAAAGAGCUGAGUCCCUUCAAAGACUGAAAGGCGGGCUUCACUCAGAUGCCUACCUGGUUAUGUGCGCCAAGGAAAGAUCUGAAGUUAUUAAUAAAAGAAAAAGAAGGAGAUAUAAGC
rnacentral:lncRNA from 1 species